rnacentral:lncRNA from 1 species
GAUUCAAAAUAAUAAUCAGGAUUUCACCAUGACAUAAUAAUGCCACGGAUUGAGCCGUCAAAUCCAUGGUUAUUAUAAAAAAUCACAUUGCUUACAAAUGGUAGAGGCGGUGCUAACCAGUACAUUGCAUGAGAGAAAAGGUAUGUUAAAUUUAAAUUUAAAAGCUAGUGUAAGAAAAUAACCAAUGGGUAUUUAGUUUUCAACAAGGGGUGCACAUUGUUGUAUAACAGUCCACGACCAAGCUUAUAUAUAAGUUGGGUCGUUCGGUAGGGUUUAUUAUUCUUUCUCAAAAAAGAGCAAGAACUUCGUCCGGAGUAAACAAAACCUUUCAUCCUCUGCGUUCGGAGAUGGUGUGAAAACUUGAGACCGGAGGUUCAUCAAUAAACGGAGAUGGCAUCCGUCGCCAGCAAAGACGUUUUCUGCGGAAGAGGCCGGGAGAUCAUAGAUCUCACGCAAGACGACGACGAGUUCGUGACACCUCCGGCAACAAGACGUCGCAUGAACCCGACAACCAACCCUCGUACUCCAUCGUUCCGAUAAUACGUCCAUUGGUAACAAGUCGAAAUGCUGAAAGAUUACCACAAGAUAAAAGACAUCGUAAGUAGAAACAUUUUGAUAGAAAUCGACUAAAAAAGGUAAGAAUAAGAUUUCGUUGACAAGCGAACAACAAAAUUGAAACAUCAACGACAAAAAUGUCUAUUUUAACAAUUGAUAUACUGGAUGAAUAAGAAAUACUGAUUUGAAAAGUAAUUACUGGAUGAACGACAUUGCCUAUUAAAUUGAAAAGUAAAUACUAACUAAAGAAAACAUAAAUUGGGAAAAACAAUUUUAGGAGAAAAAAAAUUUUAGGAUAUCAAGAACAUAUACUAACAAAAUUGAACUUCAUAUGAUUACGAUAAACGAGGAUAACUGUUUACCUAAAAACACAAGUCAUCCAAUUGAUUUAAAAAACUCUAUUACAAAUGCUGUGUUUAGCAAAGGCUGAAAAUAAGCAAAAUAAUCAACGUAAAAAAUCGAAGUUGAAAAUUAACUGGAGAAACAAAUUACUUUCUGUUUUGCAACCGAAAUAAAAUGAAGAAUGGGAAAUAAAUGAAAAUAAUAGACAUUAACCUAAAUUAGAAUAUAGAUUGAAAAGUACAAAAAUUACAGUCUAGACUAUAACCAAUGCAAAUCUUCCCAAAACUUGACGGAAAACCAAAGCUCGCAUAAUUCAUUCAGAACGUUAACAAAAUGAGCUCCUUCGAUGAACAACUCAGUUAUCGACUAACCAGUUCGAAAUGGAAAGGAAAAAAGGAAUAGUCGACGAAAGUAUGUUAUUGUUAAAUAUAAGAAUCGCAGAACGCAAAACGAAAAAGAACGACAACAAAGACAGACAAACAAAGUGGUCAAAUAUCGAGUAAAAUACAUGAACAAAGAAUGCAGAAUAAGACUAAAUAUGUUAUUGUAGAAUCCCAAAAAUGCUCAAGGCAUAAGAGAAACAAGUAAUGAAAAAGGUAAAGAAAUAUUGGGAGGACAAAGAAGGACGACAACAGCCAGACUCUCCAACAGAAAAUCAAAAUCUCAAAACCCUGAGUAUUGGAGAAGAACGAAAGCAACGGAAAAGAGAAAAAGCCGACGACAAACACAAUAGAACAACAAAAGAACCAUGUACUUACAGUAUAAAACAGAACAGAAGAACAACGGAACAAAUAGUAUCAUGAAUAGUGAGGACGAAGAACAAACUAACAAUGACAAAUAUAUUUCAAGAUAGGUUCAGGUUUGGAGAGGUUGAGGAAUGGGUUAUUGGGUGUAAAUGAGAUUUCUAUCGUUAGGUUGGAGGAAGAAGAAGAGGGUCUUCGUUUGAUCGUUCAAAAACGAUGGGAGGG